rnacentral:rRNA from 1 species
CCCUUAGAUGUUCUGGGCCGCACGCGCGCUACACUGAUGCAUUCAACAAGCCUAGCCUUGACCGAGAGGUCCGGGUAAUCUUUGAAACUGCAUCGUGAUGGGGCUAGAUUAUUGCAAUUAUUAAUCUUCAACGAGGAAUGCCUAGUAAGCGUGAUUCAUCAAAUCGCGUUGAUUACGUCCCUGCCCUUUGUACACACCGCCCGUCGCUCCUAGCGAUUGAAUGUGUUGGUGAGGAGCUCGGAUUGGCAGCAGUUGGUGGUUCGCCACCGGCUAUUGCUGAGAAGUCCUCCAAACCGCCCCAUUUAGAGGAAGGAGAAGUCGUAACA